rnacentral:lncRNA from 1 species
AAAGAGCAAUGGCAUUUUACAUCAUGUCCUGAAAGUCAUCAGUCCAUAACCACUAAGAAGUGAUGCAAAAUGCUGGUAAUCUCUGCCCAGCAAGCAAUCCGAGUCCAUGCGGAAAGCUCCUGAAAAACAUCAUCUGUGUAAGGAAGAAUUCCUUCCUACAUCUCGGUUACCAGGAGCAGGAAGCAGGCUGCAGCAGAUGAGGAUAGCUGAAAUCACAAAUCAGAGCGCCUACUUCUUGAUACUCCUGCCUCAGUUUUGUCUUCUGUGGACCUGGACUGGUAACAGCUUCCUGCCUACCGGGGAUGCUGCAAACAUUAUUGCACACUUAGCAGAUUAUGAGAAUUAAUCACUUCUGUUGCAAGCCUGUGGCAACAAGAAGACCUCUCC